UAAGGGGAAGGAGUUUUCACAUCACAGAGAUCCUGCUCUGAUGGACUCACCAUCUGACUACAGUUCUUAAGCAUAAGUAACUAUGGUUAGACUGGAUGCAUUUUCAGAUCCCUGUAAAGAAGUCAUUCAGCUUCUCCUGGAAGUUCUCCAGUGAUGAAGAAUUUACUACUCCACGAAACACCUAAAUCCAGUUCAGAAUCACUCUAAAUGAUAGCCAGUAUCAACCAGCAAAUCCUUGGCAUAAACCAGAGUAUCAUAAACCAGAAGUAUAGAAGACAUUGGGUUGAACAAGAGAAAGAUAAGAGCAUAAAAGUAAAGAUAGAAGGUUUUCAGAGUCAUGGAUUAAAGAUCAUAAUAAAUAUCUUCUUUUUUCAGUUAAGUAGUAGAUGAGAUCAUUUUCUUAAGAGGAGACAGUAGUAGGGGUGACUUGGGAAGUUAUAGGAGAAAGAAAUUUUUGUAGCAUAUACAUCAGGGUAUGAGAU